rnacentral:lncRNA from 1 species
CUUCCCAUUAUUUUCAGUGCUAAUCUCCUUUCCGCUACGAUAUAACCUAAAAGGCCUCUGUUCACACACACUCUCUCCCUCUAAAAAAGCCUUAGAACAAGACAACACCAUACCUCAAAAACCCACAAGCUUUUCUUUAUUUUAAGCUUUAUGGGACCUGUCUAUCAUGUGCUUGUCGGCAUAGAUCCCUUUUUUUCCUUCUUGUUUUACAUUUACCUCUCUCUCUCUCUCUCUCUCUCUCUCUCUCUCCCUUCCCAAUGUGUGAAAUUGAGUGCCUGCAGCUUUUUCUUAUAUAGGGUUUUGAUUGCACCUCUCUUUUGAAAGGUUUUGAUUGCUCAAUCACAAUUCACAAAUCCCCAAAACGCAGAGAUGGAGAGAAGAAAGUGGGGUGUUUGGAGUGAAGGCUGUUCCAAGAUCAACACCAGAUAGUUCCAUAAGUUUGCAUUUUCUUGAUUAAUGGAAUUAAUGGUCUCGGACCAGGCUUCAUUCCUCACGCUCCAAUUUCCAUCAAUGGAUGAACAAGAAACUACCUUCAUCAGCUGAAUUGGUCUUUUGAUCAAAUUGUUCGUCCGUUUAUCUCGUGUUCAGAUCAAUAAAAAACCAAGAAAAUAGCUGGUAAAUUUUGAUCUUCUGGUUACACAUUAAUUAUCUGAUGGAGACGAUAGCUAGGUUAACCAAGUAGCUGGUAAAUUAUAACUUACUUUAUUAGUUAAUCUAUAUUUUUCAAAAAUGUUCAUUAUUUUCAAUCUUCAAUCAGUAUAAACGCCUCGCUAGAUCUUACCACUUCACUUACUAUCAGCUAUUUGGCUGUACUUAAUAGCGCCUUUUUUUAGCUAUUUUUCUGGGAAACAUGUCUCUACAUGAUGCAGAUAAAAACAACUAAAAACUGUUUCUAAGCACAGCCAAAAAAGUAAGUUCGAAGUUUCAAUUAUAAUUAACAAUUUCCCUUCAACCUUAAUAGAUCAGAGAUUGAAUAUAUUUGCUUUUCUGUACUUUGUUUACUAGCCCAGAAUAUGCAUUUCUGACAGUCUUCCCUCUUUUCUCUUUUGAAGUUGGAAAUGUACAAAAAAUUAAAAUAGCCUGAAGAAUCCGCAUCUCUUUGUCUGUUGAUAUGACAUGCACAAGUCCUUUAGGAACAGUUACAUUCCAGAAAAAACUUUGAUUAUUAAUUGAUACUAUAAGAAACAAAUCAUAAAUUAAUUGUUUUGUCUCCCACAGUUUACAUAUGUAGCACUGCAGUUUCUGAUGAUGAAUAUUGAAGGAUUGUCCCUUGAAACUGUUUGCAUUGUAUGCUGAGUUUUGUACUUCAAAACUGUGCAAUAUGGUAGUGAUGGAGAGCAAGAUACAGAUACAGAUAAAGAUAGAGUUAGAAUUAUAAUAGAAUUUAAUUCCAAUUAGAUUAGAUAAGAUUAAUUUUGAUAUUUUUAUAUAAUUAUAGUCUAUUAUAAAUUUAUUUCCUUUUAGCCUUUUAGUUUAUUUGCUGUAUAAAAAUAGAGGGACUUAUUUAAUGAAAUAUUCAAUCGAUAAUUUUAUGAAUAAAAAAUAAUUUCUCUUCUUGCCCCCCUUUAUUUCUAUUCUUCUCUUCCCUUUCCCUUCUCCUAUAAUUUUUCUAUUGCAUCCUACGUAAAUUAGAGAUUCUGUUAAAAAGACUCUCUUUCGUGUUUUAUCGACACAUUUACUAGGGAGAAUAAUAUGCUGUCGGAAAGUCUAUUUAUUAGGACAAACAAAAUUUACGGAUCUCAAUUCGAACAAUCCUAUAUAAAUUUAUAGGUAUCUUUUUCCAUCAAGCUCUUCACUCCACUUGGAAAUGCUGGGAGUUUCCAUCUUUUUAUGUUCCAGGAGGGUUCUUAAGAUAUUUCGAAGUCUUAACAAUGAUCUUUUCCUAGAAAACUCAGUAUCUCAUUGGCGAAUUUCAUCGAGUUGUGUGUUUUUAGUCAUGUAUAUACCUUGUAUUCCUUUGGUCAAGACGAAUGUAUUGGUUGGUUAGCUAUUUUAUAACUUUAUUUCCUUCAAUCUUUUUUUAUCUAUCAUGUGACGUAAUUGGUGUAAGACUUUU